rnacentral:lncRNA from 1 species
AGGAGGGGAGAAAGAAAGGGAAAUGGUUGUACAAAUAUCUCAUGGAGUCUCUGCUUUCAAUUCUUUUGGGUAUAAACACCAGUGGGUUUUUGGAUUUAGAAACUUGCCGCCUGUUGGGCUGAGGGCCUCAGCUCCUUACUGGCUGUGGGCCAGAGGCUGCCCACAGUUCCUUGCUCUGUGGAUGUCCCAGCAUGGCCCCUUGCUCCAUCAGAGUGAUUAAGAGAGUGUGUGCUGGCAAGAGGAGUGUCACAGUCUUUUAUGUUCUGCUGGGAAGCCAGUAUGAAGGCUUGGUCCCCAAAUGUCACUGCUAAGAGACACACAUUUUGUUUGGAGAGAGAGAGGGAGACAGGCUGGUUGUGCAGG